CCUACGGGUGGCAGCAGUGGGGAAUAUUGCACAAUGGGGGAAACCCUGAUGCAGCGACGCCGCGUGAGUGAAGAAGUAAUUCGUUAUGUAAAGCUCUAUCAGCAGGGAAGAAAAUGACGGUACCUGAGUAAGAAGCCCCGGCUAACUACGUGCCAGCAGCCGCGGUAAUACGUAGGGGGCAAGCGUUAUCCGGAUUUACUGGGGGUAAAGGGAGCGUAGACGGCAGUGCAAGUCUGGAGUGAAAGGCGGGGGCUCAACCCCCGGACUGCUCUGGAAACUGUACGGCUGGAGUGCAGGAGAGGUAAGUGGAAUUCCUAGUGUAGCGGUGAAAUGCGUAGAUAUUAGGAAGAACACCAGUGGCGAAGGCGGCUUUCUGGACUGAAACUGACGCUGAGGCACGAAAGCGUGGGGAGCGAACAGGAUUAGAUACCCCAGUAGUC
rnacentral:rRNA from 1 species